AAUAUGAUUUGUUAGGUGAGGCUCCUUUACAAACAUAGGCUACUGCCCAGAAAAGUCGAGAGACACCAAUGGGUAGAACAGGGAUUGUCGAAUACAAGGCUUUCCAUAAAGUAGCUGGAAUCAACUGGUUCCUACGUUGUACAGUGCUAAAGCCCAACGACUAGAUCAAUUG
rnacentral:sRNA from 2 species